UUGCAACUUGCUUUGGGAUCCAUGUGACCGUAUUUCCUUCCGCAAAAACUAUAUUAAUCUGAUCUUAAGCGAGUGCAAACAGCUAAUUGUAUUAUCAUUAUCUUUUUGAGAAAUACUGUAGGGUAACAAAACAAGUGUUGGUACAGAAUGAGCCUCUCAGAAUUGAAUACGUUGCUCCAAACGGAGUCCUGUUGAAAUGGCAUUAACUGCUGUGAUAUGCAUAGCCAUAUGCAUAGCUUUUCUGGAUACAGGAUGGGCAACAAAACCCACAACCUAUCAUAAUAUUUGCAAACUAAAAAAGAGAAGUGCAGAUUGCAAUGGGAGGCGGCUGAGUUCUGUCCUAGAAGACUUGCCCGCUGGGAUUGAGGAACUCGUCCUAGAUGCCAACGUUCUACAAACUCUUUCAAAUGGAUCUUUCAUACAAUAUCAUGUUCUACAGAACCUCAGUCUGCAUGCAAAUGGGUUGAAACUCAUUGAACCUGGAGCAUUUCUUGGCAUUAGGAAUCUUAGUCUGCUAACCCUGUCAGACAAUUUCCUUUCCUUCAAUUAUUCUGUAACAGCAUCUGCUUUACAGACUUUGACUUACCUGAGGAAACUGGACCUCUCUGGAAACCAGCUUACUGAGCUUAUGAUGGGCAAAUUUAUCCAGCAUUUGUCUUCUCUAGAAUCCUUGUCUUUAGCAAGGAAUGCCAUCAUGAGGUUAGAUGACUCUCACUUCAGAAACCUGCUCAAUCUGCAACAUCUGGAUUUACAGCAGAACUAUAUCUUUGAAAUUGAGGCUGGGGCAUUUGAAAACAUGCCAGCUCUGCAACAGCUUAAUAUGGCCUACAACAACAUACCUUGCAUUGUGCAGUUUGAUCUGAUCCAACUUCGGAUGUUAAAUGUUAGCAAUAAUCAUAUUGAAUGGUUCUUGUCUGCAGACAAUAAUGCUUCUUUUGAACUGGAAACACUAGAUCUUUCCUACAACCAGCUUCUGUUCUUCCCACUACUGCCCAAGUUAAAUAAAUUGCAGGCUCUGCUGCUGACACACAACCACAUGAAUUUCUAUGGCAAAUUUUUCAAUAAUUCAAGCAGCUCAGUUCAGCUACUGUUCCUAGAUGGCAAUAUCAUUAACAUUACCAGCCAAGAACUUUGGGAAGAAAACAAUAAUGGCAAUCUCUCUUCCUUAGAAUUUCUGGAUAUGAGCUGGAAUGAGUUCUCUUAUUUUCCAGACUACUUUUUUAAGGGGUUAAUUUCCCUUCUUUAUCUGAAUCUCAGUCACAAUUGCUUAAAGACACUGAACAUAGAGGACAGGGAAAUGCUAAAUACUCUCAUUGACUUGGAUCUCAGCCACAACCUGCUUUCAAAGCUACAGAUGAAUUUGGGUUCUGAAGGCAGUUUAACCAACCUCAGAAAGUUUAAUCUUAGCACCAAUAGUCUACACGGCUUGCCACAUCAAUUCUUUAUCCAUGUAAGAAAAAUCACUACAAUUGACAUCAGUAAAAACCCAAUCCACAUCUGUUAUCCAUAUAGUGCUACAAGCCCUGAUUGUGUAACUUUUACUUAUGCUAAUUCCUUAAGGGACCUUGUAUUGUCUGGCUGUAACCUAAGCAUGUUAUCCUGCCAUUUCUUUAAGGGGACUUCCCUCACAUAUUUAGAUCUUUCUAAUAAUCCUAGGUUGCUUAUUAGUGGCUUGGGAACUCUGAAAGAUAUAACUUCAUCCAUACAGGUACUCUAUCUUAGAAAUACUGGCCUCUCUGCUGCAGGCACAAAGAUGGACUUUUCUGCAUUUCAGAAACUGGUAAAUUUGGAUCUGUCUGGAAACAGUUUGGUGUACUUCCCAGAAUCCUUAAUAGACCUUAAACUUUAUACUCUAGAUCUCAGGAUGAAUUUCUACCAUACCCUACCUCAAUACUUCAUGGGAAAGCAACUUGGAAAGAGUUUGCGCAUGAUCUACCUCAGUGAGAAUCCUUAUGACUGCUGCAAAAUGGGCUGGUGGGAUACUCUGCAAAGCCAUAGAACCCUACGCAUUGGAGACAUGACUGACAUCACUUGUAAUUACUCCUCCAGAUUCAUCAGUGCAACAAAUAUACCUGAAUCAGUUCACCAUGACUGUAGGUGGCUAACAGCUAAUAUAGCUUUGUUGUAUCUGGUGCUUAUUCUUCCCACCUGUUUGACCCUGCUGUUUACUUUUAUCAUCAUCUUUUUAAUUUACAGGGAAAAAAUUCUUCAGAUGCUAAAGAGCAGGCAUAAGAAACCCAGCCCAUACUGAAAUUUGGUGGCAGAAAGAAGCAAUCUAAUCUAAUAGCACUCAAUAAUAUGCUUAGAAGGUUACAUCUGCAGUCACAGAUUUAGUUACAAUGUGCAGAUUUGUUAUGCCAUAUAUAGGAACAAGAAAGAUUAACUGGUUGCAUUCAAUACCAUCAUUCCAGACAUUCUUCUAACUAAGCUAAACCAGCUACAGGUACCGGAACAGACUUGUAAGUGGAUCACAGCUUCCUAACAAACAGGAAGCAGCAGGUGAAGCUAAGCAAGAUCACAUCAAAUACCUGUACAAUUAGCACAGGGCCCCCCCAAGGCUGUGUGCUCUCACCACUUCUCUUCUCUCUGUAUACCAAUGACUGCAUCUCCAAUGAUCCAUCUGUUAAGCUACUGAAGUUCGCAGAUGACACAACAGUGAUUGGUCUCAUUCGAGACAAUGACGAAUCCGCAUAUAGAUGAGAGGUCGAACGACUAGCCUUGUGGUGCAACCAAAACAAUCUGGAACUGAACACACUCAAAACCGUAGAAAUGGUGGUAGACUUUAGGAGAAACCCUUCCAUACUUCCACCUCUCACAAUACUUGACAACACAGUAUCAACAGUAGAAACCUUCA